rnacentral:lncRNA from 1 species
ACUUAACACAGAGAAACAUCACAUCCAUAGAUUAAUAAUAUAAGAUAUAUGUUUUUGUUCACAGCAGGCACACCUUUCUUCGGAUGAAUUCAUUCAUUGACGAGUUUUGGAACUCUGCACCUUCGACCUCAUCACCUGGUGGAAGCAUGAAAUCCACAAUUGUUCUAGUUUAGUUAUUGGUUUUUAAAUGCCAACGAAAAAAUAAAACCAUUACAUCUCGCAAAUGCUAGAAACGAUUAAGACAUUUCAUACCUCACGUGGUGACUCCAUCACCCUUCGAGAAGGUGUUCCGUUUCUGUAUCUCCACCCAACGUUCGAAUGUAUUCAGCUAACUGAAUAGCAGCUGAGGUAUGAAAAAAAAA